UACAGAGGUCUCAAGCGUUGUUCGGAUUCAUUGGGCGUAAAGGGUGUGUAGGUGGCGCGCUAAGUCGGGUGUGAAAUUUCGGAGCUUAACUCCGAAACUGCAUUCGAUACUGGCGUGCUUGAGGACUGGAGAGGAGACUGGAAUUUACGGUGUAGCAGUGAAAUGCGUAGAUAUCGUAAGGAAGACCAAUGGCGAAGGCAGCCCCCUGGGUUAACACUGACGCUCAUGCACGAAAGCGUGGGGAGCAAACAGG
rnacentral:rRNA from 1 species